rnacentral:lncRNA from 1 species
AUAGACAUUCAUUUUUUAAUGCUAAUAGGGCUAACAGCCAUUUGGGCCAGUCAAAGCCGUUUAACUAUUCGUCCAUCAUCUAUUUAAGCCUCUUAACCGUCUCUUUAAAUUAUUUAAAAAGUACGGCUUUGACUGUGCCACAUAACCAGAUAAUCACAAUUAAUCCGGACUUUCUCCUUUAUUAUUUCAAUGGAUCUGACUUAUUUUGUAUUAAUUUUGAUAUUAAACCAUUGGCCCAAACUCAAGAUACCUAACUCUCCAUAAAACAACGAGACAAAGGGAAUCUAAUAUUCAAAUUCAGUAAACAACAACUCCAGCAUGUUAAAUUAUCCUACUAUUGUGUUUGAUAGUUAAUUCCUUGUUUUUUAAACUUCCACCAGUUACCUAAACCUCCUCAAUUAGCUUUUGGACCUCCU